UACGUAGGGGGCAAGCGUUGUCCGGAUUCACUGGGUGUAAAGGGCGCGUAGGCGGGUUAGCAAGUCAUAGGUGAAAUCUCCCGGCUCAACCGGGAAACUGCCUUUGAAACUGUUAAUCUUGAGGGCGGAAGAGAGAGAUGGAAUUCCAGGUGUAGCGGUGAAAUGCGUAGAUAUCUGGAGGAACACCAGUUGCGAAGGCGAUCUCUUGGUCCGUUACUGACGCCCAGGCGCGAAAGCGUGGGUAGCAAACAGG
rnacentral:rRNA from 1 species